rnacentral:rRNA from 1 species
GACGAACGCUGGCGGCGUGCCUAAUACAUGCAAGUAGAACGCACAGUUUAUACCGUAGCUUGCUACACCAUAGACUGUGAGUUGCGAACGGGUGAGUAACGCGUAGGUAACCUGCCUGGUAGCGGGGGAUAACUAUUGGAAACGAUAGCUAAUACCGCAUAAUAUUAAUUAUUGCAUGAUAAUUAAUUGAAAGUUGCAAUUGCACCACUACCAGAUGGACCUGCGUUGUAUUAGCUAGUAGGUGAGGUAACGGCUCACCUAGGCGACGAUACAUAGCCCACCGGAGAUGGUGAUCGGCCGCACUGGGAGUGAGACACGGCCCAGAGGCAUACAGGAGGCAGCAGUAGGGAAUCGGCGGCAAGGGACGAAAGUCUGACCGAGCAACGCCGCGGGAGUGAGGAAGGUUUUCGGAUCGUAAAGCUCUGUUGUAAGAGAAGAACGGGUGUGAGAGUGGAAAGUUCACACUGUGACGGUAUCGGACCAGAAAGGAACGGCUAACUACGUG